rnacentral:rRNA from 1 species
ACCACAACGGGUGGAGCCUGCGGUUUAAUUGGAUUCAACGCCGGACAACUCACCGGAUACGACAGCGGAAUGAUAGCCGGGCUGAAAACUCUGCUUGACUAGCUGAGAGGAGGUGCAUGGCCGUCGUCAGUUCGUACUGUGAAGCAUCCUGUAAGUCAGGCAACGAGCGAGACCCACGCCAACAGUUGCCAGCAUGAUCUCCGGAUUGAUGGGGACACUGUUGGGACCGCCUCUGCUAAAGGGGAGGAAGGAAUGGGCAACGGUAGGUCAGCAUGCCCCGAAUUAUCCGGGCUACACGCGGGCUACAAUGGAUGGGACAAUGGGUUUCGACACCGAAAGGUGAAGGUAAUCUCCUAACCCCACCCGUAGUUCGGAUUGCGGGCUGCAACUCGCCCGCAUGAAGCUGGAAUCCGUAGUAAUCGCGUCUCACGAUGGCGCGGUGAAUAUGUCCCUGCUCCUU